UUUGUUCUCAACAAUUUUAUCUCACCAACAAAGAUGUACGUACAUUAUUAUACAUGUACGUACAUAGAGGUGUCAAAAUGGGUCAAAAUUCAUGGGUCAACUCAACUCAACUCAACCCAUGAACCCUAAUGAGUUAAAUUUUUUGACUCAAAUGAGUUGAUGGGUCAAAUGAGUUAUUGAGUCAAUUGGUUUGAUGAGUCAAAUGAGUUGGGUUGUAAUGGUUAAUGGUUUCAAUGAUUUACCCAAUUAACCUAUCAAGUUUUGUAAAAUUAAAUUAAACCAACUAAAAUCUCUAAACCAAUGUCAAUUUAAGCUUAACCAACACAUCUAAACCAAUUUAAUAAAAUCAAUAUUUUCCAAAUUUCUUAAAUAUACAAGUGAUGAAAUUGAGAAUAAGUAAACGAGUAAUUUUUCCACCAAAAAAUAUAAACCCGUGAUUUUCCGCCAAAAACAUAAACCCGUGAUUUUCCUGCCAAAAACAUAAACCCGUGAUUUUCCCGCCAAAAACGUAAACCCAUAAUUUUCCCGCCAAAAACCAAAAUCUGUGAUUUUUCCGCCAAAAACGUAAAACCGUGAUUUUCCUGCCAAAAACGUAAACCCAUAAUAUUUCCGCCAAAAACGUAAACCCGUGAUUUUCCCGCCAAAAAUGUAAACCCGUAAUUUUUCCGCCAAAAAACGUAAACCCGUGAUUUUCCCGCAGAAACGUAUAACCUGUAAACCUGUGAUUUUCUCGCCAAAAACGUAAACCUGUAAACCUGUGAUUUUCCUGCCAAAAACGUAAACCCGUAAUUUUUCCGCCAAAAACGUAAAUCCGUAAAAAAGUGGAAUCCGUAAAUAUUUUAAGUUUGAUGAUAAUAAAUUAAUAAUUAUUAAUAAUGAUAAUUAUUUAUUAUUGUUUCAUA
rnacentral:sRNA from 1 species